UUAACUUAAUAUAUCUUUGACAUUUUACUGAGUUUCCACUUUCCACUGAUCUAUCUCAGAAACUGGCUGAGAAAGGUUCUACUGCUUCCAAAAAUGGAGUCUGCAAGAAGAGGAAGAUUGUUUUUGCUGAUGAGGCUGGUGGAAAGCUAUGUGAUGUCAAGACUUUUGAGGAUGACAUGGCUUCUUUUGUGAAGCCUAAGGCUGAGAAAACGGGAGCUGUUGACUAAGAGAUGGAGAUUUUGCUUGUUGUACAAUUGUAUAUUUAAUUAAGGCGUUCAACUGCCAAUUUGAUGCUCAAAUGGUACAAAAUCUAUGUGGCUGUUAAGGCAUAUUUAGACAGUUUAAUUUAUGCCUGAUGAGUGGGUUGGAAUGAGGAUACUGGAUAUGUGCUACGUAAGAGGAAGACUUGUGACCAUAUUUAUCCUCUGCCAAGCCUAGUCUCAUCUCUCAUUGUGCCUUUUUUUAUACUCAUUUUUAACAUUGAUAUUGCUUGGAGCUAUGCUGUAUAUAAAAUAAUUCAUCCUUGAUGGCAUUUAUACAUGCCUAUCAAGUGGGAUUUCAAACCUUUUACUUUGGAAUUUCCCCAAGCGGCAUUGCUUCAGUUUUGAUCCACAUUCAAUGUUUGUAUUUUUAGUAAUGGGUUUUCUUUCUUCAGUCAGG
rnacentral:misc_RNA from 1 species